rnacentral:rRNA from 1 species
AGUGAACGCUGGCGGUAGGCCUAACACAUGCAAGUCGAACGGCAGCACAGUAAGAGCUUGCUCUUACGGGUGGCGAGUGGCGGACGGGUGAGGAAUACAUCGGAAUCUACUUUUUCGUGGGGGAUAACGUAGGGAAACUUACGCUAAUACCGCAUACGACCUCCGGUGGAAAGCAGGGGACCUUCGGCCCUUGCCGGAUUGAAUAAGCCGAUGUCGGAUUAGCUAGUUGGGGGGGUAAAGGCCCACCAAGGCGACGAUCCGUAGCUGGUCUGAGAGGAUGAUCAGCCACACUGGAACUGAGACACGGUCCAGACUCCUACGGGAGGCAGCAGUGGGGAAUAUUGGACAAUGGGCGCAAGCCUGAUCCAGCCAUACCGCGUGGGUGAAGAAGGCCUUCGGGUUGUAAAGCCCUUUUGUUGGGAAAGAAAAGCAGCAGGUUAAUACCCCGCUGUUCUGACGGUACCCAAAGAAUAAGCACCGGCUAACUUCGUG